UACGUAGGGUGCAAGCGUUGUCCGGAAUUAUUGGGCGUAAAGAGCUCGUAGGCGGUCUGUCACGUCGGCUGUGAAAACCCGAGGCUCAACCUCGGGCCUGCAGUCGAUACGGGCAGACUAGAGUUCGGUAGGGGAGAUCGGAAUUCCUGGUGUAGCGGUGAAAUGCGCAGAUAUCAGGAGGAACACCGGUGGCGAAGGCGGAUCUCUGGGCCUGUUCUGACGCUGAGGCGCGAAAGCUAGGGGAGCGAACAGG
rnacentral:rRNA from 1 species